rnacentral:lncRNA from 1 species
AAGGGACAGGUGACACAGGGGACAGGGGGACAGGGGACAGGGGACACGGGGACAGGUGACACAGGGGACACGGGGACAGGGACACAGGUCAGCUGUUUCUCACCUGAUGUUCCUCACCUGUCCAGGUGUUUCUCACCCACCCCAGGUGUUCCUCCCCUGUCCAGGUGUUCCUCACCUCCCCCAGCUGUGUGUCUCACCUGUCCAGGUGUUCCUCACCUCCCCCAGCUGUGUGUCUCACCUGUCCAGGUGUUUCUCACCUCCCCCAGCUGUUCCUCACCUGUCCAGGUGUAUUUCUCACCCACCCCAGGUGUAUUAUUUCAUCUCCCCCAGAUGUUCCUCACCUCCCCCAGCUGUUUCCCACCCACUCCAGAUGUUUCUCACCUGUCCAGGUGUAUUUUUCACCUCCCCCAGGUGUUCCUCCCCUGUCCAGAUGUUCCUCACCUCCCCCAGAUGUUCCUCCCCUGUCCAGGUGUAUUUCUCACCUGUCCAGGUGUAUUUCUCACCCACCCCAGAUGUUCCUCACCUGUCCAGGUGUAUUCCUCACCUCCCCCAGACGUUCCUCACCUGUCCAGGUGUGUUCCUCACCUCCCCCAGAUGUUCCUCACCUGUCCAGGUGUGUUCCUCACCUCCCCCAGAUGUUCCUCACCUGUCCAGCUGUUCCUCACCUGCAGCUGGAAGGCCAGCUCGGCCGUGGCCCGGCAGGCACUGCACACCUGUCCAG